rnacentral:rRNA from 1 species
UACGGAGGGUGCAAACGUUGCUCGGAAUCAUUGGGCGUAAAGCGCACGUAGGCGGCUCGUUAAGUCGGAUGUGAAAGCCCUCGGCUCAACCGAGGAAGUGCAUACGAAACUGGCGAGCUUGAAUAUGGAAGAGGGUCGCGGAAUUCCCGGUGUAGAGGUGAAAUUCGCAGAUAUCAGGAAGAACACCAACGGCGAAGGCAGCUCGCUAGGACGGUACUGACGCUGAGACGCGAAAGCGUGGGGAGCGAACAGG